GGCUCCCCGGGGCCCUCUGGGCUUGAUGGAAGGACGGUCCUUCCACGAGGACUCCUAGUCUGGGGCUGAUGGACAUUCUCCAGGCACAGCCACACUCAGGCACAGAGAGAAGAAAUCUGCAGCGGGGUCCCGCAAGGAACCCAGGCCCGAGACCUCCAGAGAGGGAUGAAAUGCUCCAGCCGGGAGCGUAGUGGAGACCAGAGGCCAGGGACAGCCCCAAAGUAUGGGGGGACACCCCACCACAGACACGCCCCGCCAGCUGGCCACCUCAUGCCCAGAGCCGGAACUUCCGGAACACCGCGAGCCGGACACUCAACAGCAGUCAGUCAAUCAACCACCAACCAACCCCCAAUGAGCCUCCGGGACAGCAGGCCCCGGCCUCCCCGCAACCACCUGGCCGGGAGGACCUGCUCUAGCCCACUUGUCCACAGGGCGCUGUUGAGGUGGAGCAGAGUCCUGCUGCUCAGGACCCGGCGGACGCCCUGGCCUGCGGGGCAUGGAGCCCCCUGGCUCCUCCCCCACCAUGAGCUCUGGGGACCGAGCCCCUCCAAUGCCCCUCCAGGGCCUGGCCUGACUCAGGCCUCCUGAGAGUCCGUCUCCAGACCCACGGCCUUGUUCUUGACCUUGCACCCACGAGCAGGGGACCCCUGAGGAUCCAAAGUCAUUGUCACAGUGAGACCCUGUUGUUGGCUUCCGUCACAGUGAUACGGCGGAACUUUCCAGACGCCACGUGAGACAUGAUGUCAUCUAGUGCGGGCAGAAGCAGAUGCCAGGGUCAGUGUGGGCUCCUAAGCCACUUAUUAAAGAAAGUCGCAAAAUGUGUAAA